GCCCGGGUGGCGGAAUCGGUAGACGCAGGGGACUCAAAAUCCCCCACCGGCAACGGCGUGCGGGUUCGACUCCCGCCUCGGGCA
rnacentral:tRNA from 1 species